rnacentral:lncRNA from 1 species
UUCAUGGGUGUACUAAAUCUUAAUUGAAUUAGAAUUAAAAAUAGAGUUUGACUUAAGCAUCAAGAGAGAAUCCAAAAAGACUAGGACUCCUCCUCUAAUUAGGUGACAUUUAAUCUAAAUAGUUUGGACUCCUAAUCAGAUUAAGAUUUCAAUCUAUUUAGAUCUAAUUAAUUUUUAAUAUGAUUAAAAUUGAUUAGAGUUUAAAUUGAUUUAAAUCAGCCACCUAAAGAAGAGUCCCAUGUGGAUUUGAUUAAAACUCAAGCACCA